AACGAACGCUGGCGGCAUGCCUAACACAUGCAAGUCGAACGAGACCUUCGGGUCUAGUGUCGCACGGGUGCGUAACGCGUGGGAACCUGCCCUUAGGUUCGGAAUAACUCCCCGAAAGGGGUGCUAAUACCGGAUAAUGUCUUCGGACCAAAGAUUUAUCGCCUUUGGAUGGGCCCGCGUUGGAUUAGCUAGUUGGUAGGGUAAAAGCCUACCAAGGCGACGAUCCAUAGCUGGUCUGAGAGGAUGAUCAGCCACACUGGGACUGAGACACGGCCCAGACUCCUACGGGAGGCAGCAGUGGGGAAUAUUGGACAAUGGGCGAAAGCCUGAUCCAGCAAUGACGCGUGAGUGAUGAAGGCCUUAGGGUUGUAAAGCUCUUUUACCCGGGAUGAUAAUGACAGUACCGGGAGAAUAAGCUCCGGCUAACUCCGUG
rnacentral:rRNA from 1 species